rnacentral:rRNA from 1 species
GACGAACGCUGGCGGCGUGCCUAAUACAUGCAAGUUGAGCGAUGAAGCUUGGUGCUUGCACCAAUUUGAAGAGCAGCGAACGGGUGAGUAACGCGUGGGGAAUCUGCCUUUGAGCGGGGGACAACAUUUGGAAACGAAUGCUAAUACCGCAUAACAACUUUAAACAUAAGUUUUAAGUUUGAAAGAUGCAAUUGCAUCACUCAAAGAUGAUCCCGCGUUGUAUUAGCUAGUUGGUGAGGUAAAGGCUCACCAAGGCGAUGAUACAUAGCCGACCUGAGAGGGUGAUCGGCCACAUUGGGACUGAGACACGGCCCAAACUCCUACGGGAGGCAGCAGUAGGGAAUCUUCGGCAAUGGACGAAAGUCUGACCGAGCAACGCCGCGGGAGUGAAGAAGGUUUUCGGAUCGUAAAACUCUGUUGGUAGAGAAGAACGUUGGUGAGAGUGGAAAGCUCAUCAAGUGACGGUAUCUACACAGAAAGGGACGGCUAACUACGUG